UACGUAGGGUGCAAGCGUUGUCCGGAAUUAUUGGGCGUAAAGAGCUCGUAGGCGGUCUGUCGCGUCGGCUGUGAAAACCUGGGGCUCAACUCCGGGCCUGCAGCCGAUACGGGCAGACUAGAAUUCGGUAGGGGAGACUGGAAUUCCUGGUGUAGCGGUGAAAUGCGCAGAUAUCAGGAGGAACACCCGUGGCGAAGGCGGUUCUCUGGGACGGUACUGACGCUGAGACGCGAAAGCGUGGGGAGCGAACAGG
rnacentral:rRNA from 1 species